GAUGAAGAACGUAGCGAAAUACGAUAAGUAAUGUGAAUUGCAGAAUUCAGUGAAUCAUCGAAUCUUUGAACGCACAUUGCGCCCUCUGGUAUUCCGGGGGGCAUGCCUGUUCGAGCGUCAUUAUAACCACUCAAGCUCUCGCUUGGUAUUGGAGUUCGCGAUCUCGCGGCUCCUAAAAUCAGUGGCGGUGCCUGUCGGCUCUACGCGUAGUAAUACUCCUCGCGAUUGAGUCCGGUAGGUUUACUUGCCAGCAACCCCCAAUUUUUACAGGUUGACCUCGGAUCAGGUAGGGAUACCCGCUGAACUUAAGCAUAUCAAUAAGCGGAGGA
rnacentral:misc_RNA from 1 species